rnacentral:rRNA from 1 species
UACGUAGGGUGCAAGCGUUAAUCGGAAUUACUGGGCGUAAAGCGUGCGCAGGCGGUUUUGUAAGUCUGUCGUGAAAUCCCCGGGCUCAACCUGGGAAUUGCGAUGGAGACUGCAAGGCUAGAAUCUGGCAGAGGGGGGUAGAAUUCCACGUGUGAGCAGUGAAAUGCGUAGAGAUGUGGAGGAACACCGAUGGCGAAGGCAGCCCCCUGGGUCAAGAUUGACGC